GGCUCAUUAAAUCAGUUACGAUCAACUAAAUGUUGACUUUCCCGGCCCGUGUAAACGGAUAACCGUGGAAAAUCCAGAGCUAAUACGUGCACCAAAGUCUUGAGCCGUGAGGCGAGAGGCGCAGUCGUUAGACUAAGACCAACGGUCGGCCCUCGGGUCGGUCCUGCGGUUAAGGUAACUCUGGAUGAUGUGGCUAACCCCACGGCUUCGGCCGGGGGUGAUUUAACGAGUGACUGCUCUAUCAGGUUUCGAUGGUAGGUUAGUAGCCUACCAUGCCUGUAACGGGUAACGGGGAAUCAGGGUUCGAUUCCGGAGAGGGCGCUUGAGAAAUGGCGACCACAUCUAAGGAAGGCAGCAGGCGCGUAACUUACCCACUCUUCGAUCGAGGAGGUAGUGACGAAAAAUAACAAUGUGAGACCCUUUUGGGCUCUCACAAUUGGAAUGAGAACAGAUUAAAUCCUUUAUCAAGGAUCAAUUGGAGGGCAAGUCUGGUGCCAGCAGCCGCGGUAAUUCCAGCUCCAAUAGCAUAUAUUAAAGUUGUUGCGGUUAAAAAGCUCGUAGUUGGAUCUCGAUUCACGGACAACACCCUGCUUCGGUGGGCGUCGUUGCUCCUGUGUCUCAUAACUCAGCCGAAGCCAGGUGCUCUUAACCGGGUGCUUGGCCAAGGUUGAACGCGUUUACUUUGAAUAAAACAAAGUGCUCAAUGCGGGCUGCUUGCAGCCCGUAUGCUCAUGCAUGGAAUAAUAGAAUAUGUCUUCGGACUUGUUCGUUGGUCUUCGGGUCCCGGAGAAAUGAUUAACAGGGACUGCCGGGGGCAUUCGUAUAGCUCGGAUAGAGGUGAAAUUCUUUGACCCAUGCUAGACGGCCUAAAGCGAAAGCAUUUGCCAAGAAUGUUUUCUUUAAUCAAGAACGAAAGUAAGAGGUUCGAAGGCGAUCAGAUACCGCCCUAGUUCUAACCAUAAACUAUGCCAACCAGCAAUCACCUGGGGUCGUUUACGAUUCUAUGGUGGACGCUUGCCCGGGAAACCAGAGUGUCUGGGUUCCGGGGGGAGUAUGGUUGCAAAGCUGAAACUUAAAGGAAUUGACGGAAGGGCACCACCAGGAGUGGAGCCUGCGGCUUAAUUUGACUCAACACGGGGAAGCUUACCCGGUCCGGACACUUUGACGAUUGACAGAUUUAUAGCUCUUUCUUGAUAAUGUGGUUGGUGGUGCAUGGCCGUUCUUAGUUCGUGGAGUGAUUUGUCGGGUUAAUUCCGAUAACGAACGAGACUCUGGCUUAAUAAAUAGUCUGUCGGGCUUCGGCCCAGGCAGUCGACUUCUUAGAAGGAUAAACGGCGCUAAAGUCGUAAGAGAGAGAGCAAUAACAGGUCUGUGAUGCCCUUAGAUGUCCGGGGCCGCACGCGCGCUACACUGGAGCCCACAGUGAGCACGCUACUUGCUUCGAAAGGAGUGAGGAAUCUCGUAAGCUUCCCCGUAUCUGGGAUCGUGGCAUGUAAUUGUGUCGCGCGAACGCGGAAUUCCGAGUAAGUGCAAAUCAUCAUUUCGCAUUGAUUACGUCCCUGCCCUUUGUACACACCGCCCGUCGCUACUACCGAUUGAUUUGUCCAGUGAGGCAUUGGGACUGGUGCGGUGAGCUGCCCUCGGGUGGCUUGCCGUGCUGGAAACUUUGCCAAACUGUCUAGAUGAGAGGAAGUAAAAGUCG
rnacentral:rRNA from 1 species